rnacentral:tRNA from 1 species
GCCUCCGUGGUGCAGUGGUCAGCACGUACGACGCGUAAUCGAGAGGUCCGUGGUUCGAGUCCCGGCUAGGGCA